UGGCGGCAGGCCUAACACAUGCAAGUCGAGCGGUAACAUUUCUAGCUUGCUAGAAGAUGACGAGCGGCGGACGGGUGAGUAAUGCUUGGGAACAUGCCUUGAGGUGGGGGACAACCGUUGGAAACGACGGCUAAUACCGCAUGAUGUCUACGGACCAAAGGGGGCUUCGGCUCUCGCCUUUAGAUUGGCCCAAGUGGGAUUAGCUAGUUGGUGAGGUAAUGGCUCACCAAGGCGACGAUCCCUAGCUGGUUUGAGAGGAUGAUCAGCCACACUGGAACUGAGACACGGUCCAGACUCCUACGGGAGGCAGCAGUGGGGAAUAUUGCACAAUGGGCGCAAGCCUGAUGCAGCCAUGCCGCGUGUGUGAAGAAGGCCUUCGGGUUGUAAAGCACUUUCAGUCAGGAGGAAAGGUUAAGUAGUUAAUACCUGCUAGCUGUGACGUUACUGACAGAAGAAGCACCGGCUAACUCC
rnacentral:rRNA from 1 species